GCCCAGGUGGUGAAAUAGGUAGACACAGGAGACUUAAAAUCUCCCGGCCGCAAGGCUGUGCCGGUUCGAGUCCGGCCCUGGGCA
rnacentral:tRNA from 1 species